rnacentral:snRNA from 1 species
UCAGCCGGAGGUAGGGUC